AUACUCUAACUCUUCUAGCCUUUUCUCUAGGAGAUCAUCCAUUAUUUAUGAAUUCGAAUCUUGGGAAUCCUCAACGAAUGAAGUAGAUUCUUCAUUUUAUGUUGGCAUGUCUUGUUAAGUCAUGGUGUCAAAUAUGUCUUUCCUCAUAUAAGAUCCUCCAAGUUUUUGCGAUGAGCUGGCUUGAGCUAGAUCAGGUGUUGUGGGAUGAUAAACAUUAAUCUCGAGCAUAUGUGGGUCAGCUG
rnacentral:lncRNA from 1 species